ensembl:processed_transcript
GCCAUCGUACAUGCUCUGGGUGUCUUGAGGAGCUUGUCUUUGGAGGAUGCUGAGCAGGUCUUUCUUUCUGGUAAAGAUUAUCAUUACAGUGAAGUAAAAUAAUUUAACAGACUGUUGACAAACAACUGACGAAAGAAGAGAGACCAUUCAAUAGGUGGGUAUUGCUCUUAUAUACUAAAAAAUAUGGAGUUGGCAGUGAGGUUUCCUGUUUGGUUCUCCCUAUAUAUAUAUAUAUAAACUUAUUAUACCACUUAUAUUAAAUAUUAAUCUAAAUUUAAUUGCAUAACAAUUGAUUAACCUUUUGAGUUCAUAUACAUGAUUUUACAUAUUCAAGAAUAUCUAUAUACAUUUUUUUUCUUUACGACUUAGUCCCUUUAUUUAUCAGGGGUUUCCAGAGCAGAAUGAACCGCAAACUUGUGCAGCAUAUGUUUUACACAGUGGAUACCCUUCCAGCCGCAACCCAGUACUGGGAAACGCCCAUUUACACUCAUACACUUGAACAUGGGGAGAACAUGCAAACUCCACACAGAAAUAACCACUGGCCCAGCCGGGGCUUGAAUCAGCAACCUUCUUGCUGUGAGGCGACGGUGCUUACCACUGUGCUGCCCUAUGUGCUCUAUGCGGGUGAGUGGGAUUGACAAACCACCUGGAGGACACACUCUUGCUGUCUUAAUGCACCAGACAUUUUGAAAUCAUGUGCAUUUCAUGUUUAAUUGUAUAACUGCUAUUUUAUCUCAUAGCACUUCAUUUUUGUCUUGAUAUUUAAUAUCUCUUGUUUUAAAUACACUAUGAGCAGAAUCUGCACUAAUUAUUUUCCUUGUUCCCUAUUUCCACCUGGGGAUAUUUA